rnacentral:rRNA from 1 species
CGCACGGGUGCGUAACGCGUGGGAAUCUGCCCUUGGGUUCGGAAUAACAGUUAGAAAUGACUGCUAAUACCGAAUGAUGACGUAAGUCCAAAGAUUUAUCGCCCAGGGAUGAGCCCGCGUAGGAUUAGCUAGUUGGUGUGGUAAAGGCGCACCAAGGCGACGAUCCUUAGCUGGUCUGAGAGGAUGAUCAGCCACACUGGGACUGAGACACGGCCCAG